UUACCUGUUCAUCUUCGGGUAUUCCUACCAGUCGGUGCGUUCAAAGUAACUUGAAGGUAUUAAGCAGAUUGGGACAACGGGGCAAGUACGGUAUCUACAGCCGCAACUGCAACUAGGAAAAGAUUCAUAUGGAUAACGCAAGUGAAGUAUUGCAGAAUCGUCAAGUAUGAGAAGGCGAAAUGUAG
rfam:Clostridiales bacterium GWB2_37_7 gwb2_scaffold_1507, whole genome shotgun sequence.